rnacentral:misc_RNA from 1 species
UACGGAGGGGGCUAGCGUUGUUCGGAAUUACUGGGCGUAAAGCGUACGUAGGCGGCUAUUCAAGUCAGAGGUGAAAGCCCGGGGCUCAACUCCGGAAUUGCCUUUGAGACUGAAUGGCUUGAACACGGGAGAGGUGAGUGGAAUUCCGAGUGUAGAGGUGAAAUUCGUAGAUAUUCGGAAGAACACCAGUGGCGAAGGCGGCUCACUGGACCGUUGUUGACGCUGAGGUACGAAAGCGUGGGGAGCAAACAGG